rnacentral:sRNA from 1 species
AUAUUGCACGUGUUAAAUAUGUCUUCAUGUGAAUAAGUAUUUUGUUGUAAAGAG